rnacentral:rRNA from 1 species
GAUGAACGCUGGCGGCGUGCCUAAUACAUGCGAGUCGAGCGAACAGACGAGGAGCUUGCUCCUCUGACGUUAGCGGCGGACGGGUGAGUAACACGUGGAUAACCUACCUAUAAGACUGGGAUAACUUCGGGAAACCGGAGCUAAUACCGGAUAACAUGUUGAACCGCAUGGUUCAACAGUGAAAGACGGUCUUGCUGUCACUUAUAGAUGGAUCCGCGCCGCAUUAGCUAGUUGGUAAGGUAACGGCUUACCAAGGCAACGAUGCGUAGCCGACCUGAGAGGGUGAUCGGCCACACUGGAACGGAGACACGGUCCAGACUCCUACGGGAGGCAGCAGUAGGGAAUCUUCCGCAAUGGGCGAAAGCCUGACGGAGCAACGCCGCGUGAGUGAAGAAGGUCUUCGGAUCGUAAAACUCUGUUAUUAGGGAAGAACAAAUGUGUAAGUAACUAUGCACGUCUUGACGGUACCUAAUCAGAAAGCCACGGCUAACUACGUG